CUACGGGAGGCAGCAGUGGGGAAUAUUGCACAAUGGGCGAAAGCCUGAUGCAGCGACGCCGCGUGAGGGAUGACGGCCUUCGGGUUGUAAACCUCUUUCGACAGGGACGAAGCGCAAGUGACGGUACCUGUAGAAGAAGCACCGGCCAACUACGUGCCAGCAGCCGCGGUAAUACGUAGGGUGCGAGCGUUGUCCGGAAUUACUGGGCGUAAAGAGCUUGUAGGCGGUUCGUCGCGUCGUUCGUGAAAACUUGGGGCUCAACCCCAAGCUUGCGGGCGAUACGGGCGGACUAGAGUACUUCAGGGGAGACUGGAAUUCCUGGUGUAGCGGUGAAAUGCGCAGAUAUCAGGAGGAACACCGGUGGCGAAGGCGGGUCUCUGGGAAGUAACUGACGCUGAGAAGCGAAAGCGUGGGUAGCGAACAGGAUUAGAUACCCUGGUAGUCCACGCCGUAAACGGUGGGUACUAGGUGUGGGUUUCCUUCCACGGGAUCCGUGCCGUAGCUAACGCAUUAAGUACCCCGCCUGGGGAGUACGGCCGCAAGGCUAAAACUCAAAGGAAUUGACGGGGGCCCGCACAAGCGGCGGAGCAUGUGGAUUAAUUCGAUGCAACGCGAAGAACCUUACCUGGGUUUGACAUACACCGGAAACCUGCAGAGAUGUAGGCCCCCUUGUGGUCGGUGUACAGGUGGUGCAUGGCUGUCGUCAGCUCGUGUCGUGAGAUGUUGGGUUAAGUCCCGCAACGAGCGCAACCCUUAUCUUAUGUUGCCAGCGCGUAAUGGCGGGGACUCGUGAGAGACUGCCGGGGUCAACUCGGAGGAAGGUGGGGACGACGUCAAGUCAUCAUGCCCCUUAUGUCCAGGGCUUCACACAUGCUACAAUGGCCGGUACAGAGGGCUGCGAUACCGUGAGGUGGAGCGAAUCCCUUAAAGCCGGUCUCAGUUCGGAUCGGGGUCUGCAACUCGACCCCGUG
rnacentral:rRNA from 1 species